rnacentral:rRNA from 1 species
UACGUAGGGUGCGAGCGUUGUCCGGAAUUACUGGGCGUAAAGAGCUCGUAGGUGGUUUGUCGCGUUGUCCGUGAAAACUCACAACUCAAUUGUGGGCGUGCGGGCGAUACGGGCAGACUGGAGUACGGCAGGGGAGACUGGAAUUCCUGGUGUAGCGGUGGAAUGCGCAGAUAUCAGGAGGAACACCGGUGGCGAAGGCGGGUCUCUGGGCAGUAACUGACGCUGAGGAGCGAAAGCGUGGGGAGCGAACAGG